ensembl:lncRNA
GGACGUCACCAUGGAAACGGGGCGGCAGCUCAACUGUCAAGCAGCUGAACGCUGUCUCUCAUGGUUGUUUUUACUAAUUUCAGAAAUGGUUUAUUGUCUUCAGAAAAAGUCCGUUAGCAUCUCAACCUUAAUGCUAACUACAAGAGAGUUUAGCUCCAACCCCAAUUAAGCAGACCUGAGCAGCUGAUCAAAGAUCACCAGAAACUCUGCAGAACGGUGGUCCUGCAUGCCCAGGACUGGACACCAGUGUUAUGCUGGAGAAAAAACAGCGAAAAAACAUCUGCCAUGGCUCAUUAAUCCAGAAUUGGGAUGGUGGAAGGAGCAGAAGAACCAGAAGAUCAGAGAUCAGGCAGAGAUCUACUGGUGCCCCUGUGGGAACCAAUUUACCUAAUGAGUUAGUUAAACCAAAGAUUUUCAUCACUCACCUUCAUGUUGUUCCAAGUCAGACUUUUGUUCAUCUUUGAAACAUAAAUGCAGAACUUUUUAAUGAAAUCUGAGAAAUUAAUUUUUUUAUUUAUAAAAUAACACAUUCACGAGAGCACCAUGAUGCAUUAGUGUUGAGUUGGCGUGAGAGCUGGCAAUCUCAUGGUACUUUUGUGAAAAUCUGUUGGGGAUACAUCAUUUCUGAAUACAUUUUUGCUGUUGUUGUUUUUUUGUACACAAGGCAUCUGUUAAAAAACCUUAAUUUGUGUUCUGCACAAAAGGGUCUUAUGGGUUUGGAGCAACAUGAGGGUAAGUAAUUAAUGACAGAAUUUACAUUUUUGGUUGUUCUAAUGUGGUUAUUAUUGGUCAUUAUUUCCAUUUUCAAUAUUUUAAAGAUUUAUUGUCUUGAAAAAUUAUGUUUAUACAGAAAGAUUGAUUCAUUGGAUAAGUUACAGUAAAGACUUUUAAAUUGAUAAAAAAUUAAAAUAAAUACUGCUCUUUUGCAAGCUCUAUUAAAAAAUACUGAUAAAUUUAAUGGUUUCAACAAAAUAUUAAGCAGCACAACUGUUUUCAACAUUGAUAAUAAUCAGAAAUGUUUCUUGAGCAGCAAAUCAUCAUAUUAGAAUGAUUUUUGAAGAUCAUGUGACACUGAAGACUGGAGUAAUGAUGCUGAAAAUUCAGUUUACAUGGAUAAAUUACAUUUUACAAUGCAUCCGCAUAGAAAAACAAUUAUUUCUGUAGUUAUAUUUCACAAUAUUACUGUUUUUACGGUCUGUUUAAUCAAAU